rnacentral:rRNA from 1 species
CCUACGGGCGACAGCAGUGGGGAAUAUUGGGCAAUGGGCGCAAGCCUGACCCAGCAACGCCGCGUGAAGGAAGAAGGCUUUCGGGUUGUAAACUUCUGUUAUCAGGGACGAAGCAAGUGACGGUACCUGAUGAAUAAGCCACGGCUAACUACGUGCAAGCAGCCGCGGUAAUACGUAGGUGGUAAGCGUUCUCCGGAUUUACUGGGUGUAAAGGGCGUGUAGGCGGGAAAGCAAGUCAGAUGUGAAAACCAUGGGCUCAACCUGUGGCCUGCAUUGGAAACUGUUGUUCUGGAGUGCUGGAGAGGCAGACGGAAUUCCUAGUGUAGCGGUGAAAUGCGUAGAUAUAAGGAGGAACACCAGUGGCGAAGGCGGUCUGCUGGACAGCAACUGACGCUGAGGCGCGAAAGCGUGGGGAGCAAACAGGAUUAGAUACCCUGGUAGUC